AUUGAACGCUGGCGGCAGGCCUAACACAUGCAAGUCGAGCGGAAACGAGUUAUCUGAACCUUCGGGGAACGAUAACGGCGUCGAGCGGCGGACGGGUGAGUAAUGCCUAGGAAAUUGCCCUGAUGUGGGGGAUAACCAUUGGAAACGAUGGCUAAUACCGCAUGAUGCCUACGGGCCAAAGAGGGGGACCUUCGGGCCUCUCGCGUCAGGAUAUGCCUAGGUGGGAUUAGCUAGUUGGUGAGGUAAGGGCUCACCAAGGCGACGAUCCCUAGCUGGUCUGAGAGGAUGAUCAGCCACACUGGAACUGAGACACGGUCCAGACUCCUACGGGAGGCAGCAGUGGGGGAUAUUGCACAAUGGGCGCAAGCCUGAUGCAGCCAUGCCGCGUGUAUGAAGAAGGCCUUCGGGUUGUAAAGUACUUUCAGUCGUGAGGAAGGUAGUGUAGUUAAUAGCUGCAUUAUUUGACGUUAGCGACAGAAGAAGCACCGGCUAACUCCGUGCCAGCAGCCGCGGUAAUACGGAGGGUGCGAGCGUUAAUCGGAAUUACUGGGCGUAAAGCGCAUGCAGGUGGUUUGUUAAGUCAGAUGUGAAAGCCCGGGGCUCAACCUCGGAAUAGCAUUUGAAACUGGCAGACUAGAGUACUGUAGAGGGGGGUAGAAUUUCAGGUGUAGCGGUGAAAUGCGUAGAGAUCUGAAGGAAUACCGGUGGCGAAGGCGGCCCCCUGGACAGAUACUGACACUCAGAUGCGAAAGCGUGGGGAGCAAACAGG
rnacentral:rRNA from 1 species